UUAUUUUUUAUUUCGAUCAGGUCAUAAUUCGAAUUUCCUUG
rnacentral:antisense_RNA from 1 species